rfam:Fusarium graminearum chromosome 1, complete genome
GUCGGUGUGGCUCAGUUGGUUAGAGCGUUGGUCUCAUAGAGAUAUGACUUGGUUAAACACCAGGGUUAUCCAAAGGUCGAGAGUUCGAGCCUCUCCACCGACA